CCUUUCUGAAAGCAGGCUGAGAAAGACAUGGAGAACAGUCAGAGAGUAGCAUUCUUUCACUACCUCUACUUCAGUUGCUGUCUCCGGGGUCUUGCUUUUGAGUUUCUGCCCUGACUGCCCUCAAUGAUGGACCAUGAUUGGGAUACUUAAGCCAAAUAAACCUUUCUUCCUCAGGUUGGUUUAGUCAAUCUGGUGGUUGAAUAUGUUUGGCCCAGAGAGUGGCACUAUUGGGAGAUAUGGCCUUGUUGGAGUAGAUGUGGCCUUGUUGGAGGAACUGUAUCACUGUGGGUGUGAGAUUUAAGACCCUUGUCCUAGCUGCCUGGAAGUCAUUCUUCUCCUGUUUGACUUUGAAAUGAGAAGUAGAACUCUCAGCUUCUCCUGCAUCAUACCUGCCUGGGCACUGCCGUGCAGCUGACCUGCCUUGAUGACAAUGGACUGAACCUCUGAGCCUACAGAAGAGAAACCAACAUGUGGCUGGCAGCCUGUGUUAGAGGAAGCGGGAAGCACAUCCAGAGGGAAGACAAUGGUACAACAGUAAAGAUGAAGGAAAAAAACAUCAUCGGAAGGAGCUGGGAAUCGGGUUUCCUGUGAUCUCUGCAGCUGCCAUGGCCUCCAGUUCAGUCACUCACGCUGGUCUGGGAUAGUUGAACUCUAGAAGAGAAUAACACAAAUGUGUGGUAUUGGAAA